GUCGAGCGAGAAAGUCCCCUUCGGGGGAUGAGUAAAGCGGCGCACGGGUGAGUAACACGUGGGUAAUCUGCCCUCGUGUCUGGGAUAACCCGGGGAAACCCGGGCUAAUACCGGAUGCGACCUCGGGGUCUGCGGACCCCUUGGAGAAAGAUGGCCUCUUCAUGAAAGCUGUCGCACGAGGAUGAGCCCGCGUCCCAUUAGCUAGUUGGUAGGGUAACGGCCUACCAAGGCUGAGAUGGGUAGCUGGUCUGAGAGGACGACCAGCCACACUGGAACUGAGACACGGUCCAGACUCCUACGGGAGGCAGCAGUGGGGAAUUUUGGGCAAUGGGCGAAAGCCUGACCCAGCGACGCCGCGUGAGGGAUGAAGGCUCUCGGGUCGUAAACCUCUGUCAGGAGGGAAGAAACGUUGCCGGUAAACAGCCGGCAAACCUGACGGUACCUCCAAAGGAAGCGCCGGCUAACUCCGUGCCAGCAGCCGCGGUAAUACGGAGGGCGCAAGCGUUGUUCGGAAUCACUGG
rnacentral:rRNA from 1 species